CGGAACGUGGCUCAGCUUGGUAGAGCACUAUCUUAGGGAGGUAGGGGUCGCAGGUUCAAAUCCUGUCGUUCCGA
rnacentral:tRNA from 1 species